rnacentral:rRNA from 1 species
AGCAGCCGCGGUAAUUCCAGCUCCAAUAGCGUAUAUUAAAGUUGUUGCAGUUAAAAAGCUCGUAGUUGAAUUUCGGGACCAAUUUGUUGGUCGUGCCUCGGUACGUACUGGUAUUAUUGGUUUCUCCCUUCUGAAGAACCUCGAUGCCAUUAAUUUGGUGUCGUGGGGAAUCAGGACUGUUACUUUGAAAAAAUUAGAGUGUUUAAAGCAAGCAUACGCUUGAAUACAUUAGCAUGGAAUAAUGAAAUAGGACGUUUGAUUCUAUUUUGUGGUUUCUAGGAUCGACGUAAUGAUUAAUAGGGAUAGUUGGGGGCAUUAGUAUUCAAUUGUCAGAGGUGAAAAUUCUUGGAUUUAUUGAAGACUAACUACUGCGAAAGCAUUUGCCAAGG